AUGUUCUAUUUGGAAAAGAUGAAUGUUUCUUUGUUUGAUGGCUAAUUAUUUGAAAUCGACAAAGGAUUAUAAUAUGUUUAGCCACAUAUAUGGUGGAUGAAUUGGGGAUUUGCAACGAACGGACAGGAAUUCAUCCCCUCGGGCACUGAUCCUGGUGUAAUUCAUGAUUACAAGAAGGGAUCUUCCCACCAUGGAUUUUCCUACCAGACUCAAGAUUGCAUUAGGAUUGGCUAAAGGACUCGCCUACCUUCACGAAGAUUGCCACCCGAAGAUUAUACAUCGUGAUAUUCAAACUGCCAACAUUCUCUUGGACAACAAUUUUGAAGCCACGGUGAGUGCACAAUUCUCACACAUACCCCACUUUGUAAAUUCCAGGUGGAAAAAGCUCACAUUAUAGAGUGAGGUUUUGUCAUCCAACCAAACCUCAAAGCAAGUGAAGAAGAUUGUCCUUUAAAAAAAAUAAAAAAUAAAAUUGUACCCUAAUGAUUCAUUGCAAGAAAAGGUUGUUGCAGCUUCAUCUUCCCAUGAAUCAAUACAUUUUUUCUUGUUUUUGGUGGGCAACAACAACAUGGAUGGGGAAUGGAUAUAUAAGAACUUGGUUAUUGCAGUCAGGUACUUUUUUUACUCCAUGUUAUUGAAUGAACACUGAAUCCUGUUGGAGGGCUUAAAAUGUGAUACACACGGUUCUUUUAACAGUUCUUUUAAUAUUGUUUCAAACCAAAUUCUACCAAUCUGAACCUUACAAAUAAAAAAUAAAAAAUAAAAAUCCUGCUAGUCUUUGGUAUUUGCCUUUAUUUUCAAUCAGAUUAGGGAACUCGUUUAUUUUCAAUUAGAUUUAAAGGGAGGAUGAGUUACCACCAUUUUCUAAAUGGUUAAAAACUAACAUAGAAGUCUUGAUCCUCGAAAGAAGUUUUAGGAAUGAGAUAACAACAUUAACAGAAAUUCGCCAUCAUAACAUUGUGAAGCUUUAUGACUUCUGUUCCCAUGCUCAGUGCUCAUUUCUAGUGUAAGAGUACAUGGAAAGGGAAAGCUUAGCAAGCAUCCUAAGCAACAAC